UACAGGGGGUGCAAACGUUGCUCGGAAUUAUUGGGCGUAAAGCGCGUGUAGGCGGCUUACUAAGUCUGAUGUGAAAUCCCAGGGCUUAAUCCUGGAACUGCAUCGGAUACUGGUGAGCUAGAGGACGAGAGAGGGUGAUGGAAUUCCAGGUGUAGGGGUGAAAUCCGUAGAUAUCUGGAGGAACAUCGGUGGCGAAGGCGGUCACCUGGCUCGUAUCUGACGCUGAGACGCAAAAGCGUGGGGAGCAAACAGG
rnacentral:rRNA from 1 species